CAAGAGCAGUGAUGCUGACAAUUCCAAUUUGCCAAAGAGAUGCCAUAAGUGCUUCCUUUGGGUGAAAAGGCGAUUGAUUUCCCGAUGCCGGGUUUGACCACGAAGACUCCUUUGGUGACUUGAUGAUGGUCUGCUACGAGGGAACUGGUCGGCUUUGUUUGGAAAAGGGGAAGGUGACAAGCAGCUCCCACCUGCCUGUGGGAGAACGUGGGACAGCUCAUUACAGAGGGGCUCUGAUGGCCCGAGGGCUGCCUCCCAGCUGUGAACCUUGUGAGGAGCAGGCCUGUGUCUG